AGAACGAACGCUGGCGGCAUGCCUAAUACAUGCAAGUCGAACGAGAUCUUCGGGUCUAGUGGCGCACGGGUGCGUAACGCGUGGGAAUCUACCCUUGGGUUCGGAAUAACAGUUGGAAACGACUGCUAAUACCGGAUGAUGACGAAAGUCCAAAGAUUUAUCGCCCAGGGAUGAGCCCGCGUAGGAUUAGCUAGUUGGCGAGGUAAAGGCUCACCAAGGCUACGGUCCUUAGCUGGUCUGAGAGGAUGAUCAGCCACACUGGGACUGAGACACGGCCCAGACUCCUACGGGAGCAGCAGUAGGGAAUAUUGGACAAUGGGGGCAACCCUGAGUCCAGCAAUGCCGCGUUGAGUGAAUGAAGGUACCUUAGGUUAGUAAAGUCUCCUUUACCCGAGAGUAGAUAAUAGACUAGUAGUACGGAAGUAAUAAGACUCCGGACCUAACGU
rnacentral:rRNA from 1 species